AUGUUGCAUCCUGUUAGCCAGGUUCCUAGUUCAGUUUAGCUGUUGUGCAGGUCAAGGACUCUUAAGGAUUGAAUUGCAUCCCUUCAAAAGAUAUUGAAGUCCUAACCCCCAGAAUCGGUGACUGUGACCUUAUUUGGAAAUGGGUCUUUGCAGACACAAUCAAGUUAAGAUGAGGUCAUAUUGGAUUAAAGUGGUGUGUAAUUCAAUAGAUGAUCUCUUUAAUGAAAAGGGAAAUUUGUACUGAGAAACACAGAGGGAAAUGCUAUGUGAAGAUGGAGGCAGAGAUUGGAGUGAUUUGGAGCAAUGUGUAUGUCUGCAAGCCAAGGAACACCAAGUAUUGCCAGCCAUCACCAGAGCUGGAGGAGGGGCCUGGAACAGAUUCCCACUAGAGCCCCCAAAAGGAUCCAACCCUGCUGACACUUUGACUUUGGAGUUGUGGCCUUCAGAACUGUGAGAGAAUUAAUUUGUGUUGUUUUGAGCCACUCAGAGUGUGGUAUUUUGUUAUAGAAGUCCUUGGAUACUAAUAAAGACAUUAAUAGCC
rnacentral:lncRNA from 1 species